rnacentral:lncRNA from 1 species
AAUUAUGUAGAGGAUAAUGAACAAUCAAGAUAGGAUUUGUCCCUCUCUCCGAGAGAGAUAUCUUCUGGGCCCCUCGAUAAGUGAGACUGAGAAAUGCAUGGCCGUGCUCAAAUGAAUUGAUAGUGUGAUCAAUAUCAUUUGAAUUUAUCAGUCUACUUAGAGAUCGAGAAAUCAUAAGUUUGAACAUUAUAAGUUUGACAUUGACCAUG